AACGAACGCUGGCGGCAUGCCUAACACAUGCAAGUCGAACGAAGGCUUCGGCCUUAGUGGCGCACGGGUGCGUAACGCGUGGGAACCUGCCCCUCGGUUCGGAAUAACAGUUAGAAAUGACUGCUAAUACCGGAUGAUGACUUCGGUCCAAAGAUUUAUCGCCGAGGGAUGGGCCCACGUAGGAUUAGCUAGUUGGUGGGGUAAAGGCCUACCAAGGCGACGAUCCUUAGCUGGUCUGAGAGGAUGAUCAGCCACACUGGGACUGAGACACGGCCCAGACUCCUACGGGAGGCAGCAGUGGGGAAUAUUGGACAAUGGGCGAAAGCCUGAUCCAGCAAUGCCGCGUGAGUGAUGAAGGCCUUAGGGUUGUAAAGCUCUUUUACCAGGGAUGAUAAUGACAGUACCUGGAGAAUAAGCUCCGGCUAACUCCGUG
rnacentral:rRNA from 1 species